rnacentral:rRNA from 1 species
AACGAACGCUGGCGGCAUGCCUAACACAUGCAAGUCGAACGAGACCUUCGGGUCUAGUGGCGCACGGGUGCGUAACGCGUGGGAACCUGCCUUUAGGUUCGGAAUAACUCAGAGAAAUUUGAGCUAAUACCGGAUGAUGUCUUCGGACCAAAGAUUUAUCGCCUUUAGAUGGGCCCGCGUUGGAUUAGCUAGUUGGUGGGGUAAAGGCCUACCAAGGCGACGAUCCAUAGCUGGUCUGAGAGGAUGAUCAGCCACACUGGGACUGAGACACGGCCCAGACUCCUACGGGAGGCAGCAGUGGGGAAUAUUGGACAAUGGGCGAAAGCCUGAUCCAGCGAUGCCGCGUGAGUGAUGAAGGCCUUAGGGUUGUAAAGCUCUUUUACCCGAGAUGAUAAUGACAGUAUCGGGAGAAUAAGCGCCGGCUAACUCCGUG